UACGGGGGGGGGCAAGCGUUGUUCGGAAUUACUGGGCGUAAAGGGCUCGUAGGUGGCCAACUAAGUCAGACGUGAAAUCCCUCGGCUUAACCGAGGAACUGCGUCUGAUACUGGAUGGCUUGAGUUUGGGAGAGGGAUGCGGAAUUCCAGGUGUAGCGGUGAAAUGCGUAGAUAUCGUAAGGAAGACCAGUGGCGAAGGCGGGUCUCUGGACAGUUCCUGACGCUGAGGCACGAAGGUCAGGGGAGCAAACGGG
rnacentral:rRNA from 1 species